AUACUAUAUGUAAUAUUAUUACAUUCAUGAAUUCUAAAUUCAUUGCACUUUAUUCUGCCAAAAUAGUA
rnacentral:tRNA from 1 species